AGAAUCACUACUGUCUUAUGUUCCUGCGUGUCACCUGGACCUCCAAUCCAAAAACCUGAUGAAACUCUUCUAUCAGAAAGGAUGACAGCUAGCAAAAAGACUUCAAACAAUUAAUGAUCAAAUGACAGAAGGCAUGGAUGAAGUCAGCAUCAGUGAGGUCAUUUGAAGACACCAAUGUUGGGAUUUGUGCUCUCAAACAACAUGCUUCUUGUGAUGAAGAAGAGGAUCUUUGUAUAGUCCUGGAAGCCAUGAAGGUGUUGCAACAUCGUGUUUGAGCUGAUGUAUGCCUUAAACUUGAUCUCCGCUUUAUUUUUGAGGAGAUCCAAACUGCAUUGAGAGUAACUUUAACGAACAGUUUCUUUCAGUGAAAGGAUCAGAAAGACUGUGCUGCUCAUUUUUGAAUUUUUUAUCUGUUUUAAGUGUUUUCUCUUAUUAAUACAUUAACAGUUUGCUGCUCAGAGUCGAUUUUGGAAAUGGUUGUUGUAUUUUGUUUUUGUUGAAUCUUUGAUUAACAGUUUAUAAAUGCUGUAGCUCUGACUAUUGAUAUUUUCCAGUUUGUAAAUCCAUUUUAUAAAUAAUAGUACUUACUGUUUUGCAUGUCUCUUUGGAAUGCAGUGUUUGUGCUUUAGCACUUCUAAAUCUACUGUGAUAGUAACUAUUUUAAACAUUUGGGUCAGUUUCACAGAUGGGGCUUUUUCUAGUCCCGGACUUUUGCAAUGCCAUAUAUCAGUGCCAUUGUUUUGUCUAAAGAUGUACUCCAGUGUUGUUUUUGUAAGGUAGGUUUGUUUGUAAACUUUAUUUUUGUAAAAAUAUCCUAAUAUAACUAGGGUCUAGUCAUGGAUUAAUCUACAACUUGUUUGGGAAUUGCCCCUUUAUGUAUGUACUGCAUGUGCUGAUUGUUGUAAUAGUUAUUGACUGUUAUUGAAUUAAUGUGUAGUGAUUUAAAUGAAUUGAUGAUCUGAAAGCAGUGGUUUGCCUCAAUAUCACUAAACAUUUGUACAAAACUCUUUGCUUUUUAUGCCAAUGCAAAUGUAUUUUGUAUUUAAAAAAGAAAUAAAUAACAUUUGGAUAA